rnacentral:sRNA from 1 species
AGAGCAUCACUGAGCCGCAGGUGUACUAUCAAGUGGCCUUGCCAUCAGUAGGUGACUUAGCCUAUCAGAGAAGAGAAAAGUUCCUGUGAGCAAAAAGAUAUAUCUAUUGUGAUGAAAUUGACUUGGCUGCUGACACAGUGCUGGCCACACUUUAUGCUGCCAAAAAGUACAUUGUCCCUCACCUUGCCAGAGCCUGUGUUAAUUUCCUGGAGACCAGCCUGAGUGCCAAGAAUGCCUGUGUGCUCCUCUCCCAGAGCUGCCUGUUCGAGGAGCCAGACCUGACCCAGCGUUGCUGGGAGGUGAUUGAUGCCCAGGCUGAGUUAGCUCUCAAGUCUGAGGGAUUCUGCGAUAUUGACUUCCAGACACUAGAAAGUAUUCUCCGUAGGGAAACUCUGAAUGCCAAAGAAAUUGUGGUUUUUGAGGCAGCUCUCAACUGGGCUGAAGUAGAAUGCCAACGACAAGAUCUGGCGUUGAGCAUUGAAAAUAAACGCAAGGUUCUAGGAAAGGCACUUUACUUGAUCCGCAUACCCACAAUGGCCCUCGAUGAUUUUGCAAAUGGUGCUGCACAGUCCGGGGUAUUAACUCUCAAUGAGA